AAACGUCAAAUCAAAACAUCUUUUAAACAAAUCUCAGCAAAUUCACUUUAUAUGACGCAUUGACCACGUAUUGACCAACUCUAAUGUAAUUUUAAGUUAAUAAGUAUCUUUUUACUUUAUCAGAUUGCUGCUUAGAAAUGAUCAUUCAGUAAGAAAAUCGUUGUUGAAGAAAAACAAGGAGAAUGGGUUGUUCUGAUAUUGGCUCCUACAUGAGAGGUUUACUUUCGGAGUAUGACAAGCUCCGGGGUAAACCCUUGAACCCUGAAAACAAGUUCUGGGAUGUCGUCGUCAUUAGGAAACCUCAUUCAUUGCUAGUGAUGUGGCUCAGCAUGAUUGGUAUUUAGCUCAACUGCAGCUCAAAGUAGAUCUAGGAGAUCUA